AGAACGAACGCUGGCGGCAUGCCUAACACAUGCAAGUCGAACGUGAUCCAGGCUUCGGCCUGGUGAAAGUGGCAGACGGGUGAGUAACGCGUGGGAACCUGCCCUGUGGUAGGGAAUAACCGUGGGAAAACUGCGGCUAAUACCCUAUGAGUCCUUCGGGAGAAAGAUUUAUCGCCAUAGGAGGGGCCCGCGUCGGAUUAGGUAGUUGGUGGGGUAACGGCCUACCAAGCCUUCGAUCCGUAGCUGGUCUGAGAGGAUGAUCAGCCACACUGGGACUGAGAUACGGCCCAGACUCCUACGGGAGGCAGCAGUGGGGAAUAUUGGACAAUGGGGGCAACCCUGAUCCAGCAAUGCCGCGUGGAUGAUGAAGGCCUUCGGGUUGUAAAGUCCUUUCGGCGGGGAAGAUGAUGACGGUACCGCAGAAGAAGCCCCGGCUAACUCGUGCCAGCAGCCGC
rnacentral:rRNA from 1 species